UACGAAGGGGGCUAGCGUUGCUCGGAAUGACUGGGCGUAAAGCGUGCGCAGGCGGUUGUGCAAGACCGAUGUGAAAUCCCCGGGCUUAACCUGGGAAUUGCAUUGGUGACUGCACGGCUAGAGUGUGUCAGAGGGGGAUAGAAUUCCACGUGUAGCAGUGAAAUGCGUAGAGAUGUGGAGGAAUACCGAUGGCGAAGGCAGCCCCCUGGGAUAACACUGACGCUCAUGCACGAAAGCGUGGGGAGCAAACAGG
rnacentral:rRNA from 1 species